CCAUCUUCCGGUCUCCUCAGAAGUCGCUUAGCUCUUCGGUGGUUGUCCCACGUCCGGAGGCCUAGCCGUCGCUUACCUAGGAUGCCGCGUGGAAGCCGAAGCCGCACCUCCCGCAUGGCCCCUCCGGCCAGCCGGGCCCCUCAGAUGAGAGCUGCACCCAGGCCAGCACCAGUCGCUCAGCCACCAGCAGCGGCACCCCCAUCUGCAGUUGGCUCUUCUGCUGCUGCGCCCCGGCAGCCAGGUCUGAUGGCCCAGAUGGCAACCACUGCAGCUGGCGUGGCUGUGGGCUCUGCUGUGGGGCACACAUUGGGUCACGCCAUUACUGGGGGCUUCAGUGGAGGAAGUAAUGCUGAGCCUGCGAGGCCUGACAUCACUUACCAGGAUUGGCCUAAUGAAGAAGUUCAACCUGGAGAGAUGGAAAAUCAGCUCUCAUAACUAAGUUAAUUUAGUAUAAAAAUAGAAUUGAUAGUGAGGGUAUAAAGUGUAACCAUCAGUUAAACCUCUCCUGUCAUUCCUGGCUUCCUUGCUUCAGAAUUGAAAUGGAAGUGGGGGUGUCCCUACUCUGUAGAAUCUGGGACUGGGCAAAUGUUUGUGUGGCCUCCUUAAACUAGCUGUUAUGUUAUGAUUUUAUUCUUUGUGAGUUAAUUAGAAUAAAGUCAUUUUCUUCC
rnacentral:lncRNA from 1 species